AACGAACGCUGGCGGCAUGCCUAACACAUGCAAGUCGAACGAGACCUUCGGGUCUAGUGGCGCACGGGUGCGUAACGCGUGGGAACCUGCCCUUAGGUUCGGAAUAACUCCCCGAAAGGGGUGCUAAUACCGGAUAAUGUCUUCGGACCAAAGAUUUAUCGCCUUUGGAUGGGCCCGCGUUGGAUUAGCUAGUUGGUAGGGUAAAAGCCUACCAAGGCGACGAUCCAUAGCUGGUCUGAGAGGAUGAUCAGCCACACUGGGACUGAGACACGGCCCAGACUCCUACGGGAGGCAGCAGUGGGGAAUAUUGGACAAUGGGCGAAAGCCUGAUCCAGCAAUGCCGCGUGAGUGAUGAAGGCCUUAGGGUUGUAAAGCUCUUCUACCCGGGAUGAUAAUGGCAGUACCGGGAGAAUAAGCUCCGGCUAACUCCGUG
rnacentral:rRNA from 1 species